rnacentral:rRNA from 1 species
GGCCGCAGUAUUUUGACUGUGCAAAGGUAGCAUAAUCAUUAGUCUUUUAAUUGAGGGCUGGAAUGAAUGGUUGGACGAAAUAAAUUCUGUUUCAUUAAAAUUUUAUUGAAUUUAGGUUUUAAGUAAAAAUUCUUAAAUAAUGUUAAGGGACGAGAAGACCCUAUAGAGUUUAAUAUAUUGAUUUUAAAUUAAGUUUUUAUUUAAUUUAUGAUUUUUUUUUUAAUUUAUUUAAUUGGGGUGAUUGGAAGAUAUUUUUAACUCUUUUUAAUUUUUAAUAAUUAUUUUUAGUUUUUUGAUCCAUAAAUUUUUGAUUUUAAGAUUAAAUUACCUUAGGGAUAACAGCAUAA